UCUCUCUCUCUCUCUCUCUCUCAGAGUUCAAUGGUGCUGCCACUGAGCCUCAUAUGCCACCAAGCAUAACAUAAAUCUUCGUCAUUUCUCUUGUUUCCUGUUGUGCUGCGUUUUAAAGGCCAUGACUCCACAUCCAAGUUCUCUUGACUCAGUUAUGAUAAGGGUAAAACUGUGGUUCCUGGAUCCUGGAAGCAGCGAUUUUUUUUCUUACUAUAACAUUUGCAUUACUCGCCUGCUGUCAGGUUUUCUUAGGCAAAGUGAAGGUCUUGAGGCGAAAGGUAAUGAGUUGCCACGUUUGAUCUAUGUUUCUUGUGAAAAACGUCUGGGCUUCCAACAUCACAAGAAAGCUGGUGACAUGAAUGCUCUUGUGAGAGUCUCAGCUGUCCUCACUAAUGGACCUUUCUUGUUGAAUCUUGAUUGUGAUCACUACAUAAGCAACAGUAAGGCAUUGAGAGAAGCCAUGUAUUUCUUGAUGGAUCAUAACCUUAGGAAACAUGUGUGUCACGUUCAAUUUCCAAAGAGAUGUGACGGUGUUGACAGAAAUGACAGAUGCACCAAUCGCGAUAUUGUGUUCUUUGGUUUAAGCUUUUUGUCUCUUCAUUAAAAUACAUUUUAUUAUGUUAUGUCCAAGAUUGCUACUUGCACUGACAUCAGAAUCACAUCCUCCAUCAAAGCAAGUUCUUUUGUUGUGGACUAAGAUUAAAACACUCUUCAGCUUCCUUGCAUAUUCAUUAGAUGGACAUUCUAUCUUAUGAUCUGGACAAGCUUAAGAGGUUUAAAUGGCAUCCAAGGUCCUGUUUAUGUUGGAACUGGGCGUAUGUUCAAUGGAACAGCCUUAUAUGGUUUGAAGCUCUUCCUUAUAUGGUUAUGAAGCUCCUCACAAGCCAAAGCAUAGAAAGUGAGGAUUCCUGUCUUCUCUCUGUGGUGGAUCACGAAAGAAAGCAAGAUGAAGUAAACUCUGACAAUAAGUGGCAAACAUGUAGUUCCAACUGUGCCUAUCUUCAGCCUGCAAGAUAUAGAAGAGGGAGUGGAAGGAGCUGGAUUUUAUGAUGAAAAGUCAUUGCUUGUGUCGCAAAUGAGCCUGGAGAAGAGGUUUGGUCAGUCUACUGUCUUUGUGGCCUGUAAAUUUAUGGAGAAUGGUGGCGUUCCUCAAUCUACAACUCCAGAAACCCUUCUUAAAGAGGCUAUUCAAGUCAUCAGUUGGGGUUAUGAGGAUGAAACAGACUGGGAAGUGAGGUAUGUGAGCUUAUUCUAAUAUUUAUUCCAUUAGAGUGUUUGUUGUUUAAGAGAAAAAGAUACAUGAGUCAUGGGCUAGCAGAUCCUUGACCACAUAAUAAGCCAUGCGGUGUCUAUCAAGUCAAGAAGACGUCAAGCUAGCCUUCAUUCUAUAACUGUUCCUAAGAACAGUACGAUGAAUAGCAUCCUUGUAUUAUGCCACACUACGACCAGCUUUGCUCGAGCAUUCAAACCCUUGAGCAAGAUGCGUGAAACA